AAGAAAACAAACAAAAGCGAAACAACACAAUUCAACAUGCAAAGACCAAAAUUUCAUUUACACAAUUCAAUAACAAAAGAAAAACCACGCACAGGAACAUUCAACCCAACAAAACUCAAAACGACACCACAAAAACCUUCCACACACAAGAAUCUACAAAAAAAACAACAACACACAACAUGCAACCAGCACACCAGGGACCAAGAAGACCGCCCAGAUUCCCAAUCUACCUCAACAAAACUCUGGCGUACCCAGAUGCUUCGCAGGAACGACAGUGGGAGGUAAGAUUGUUUAAAUCCUUCAGCGCCCAACGUAGGCUACACCCACCAUUCUACAUCUAAAGAGUUAGCCGGGCAAUCCUCCACGAAUGUUCAACCUAGGAAUGUAUUUCAAUUUACUGUGUCUUGUAUGAAUAUGAGUGGACCUUCCAAUUUUCACUGGUACCAUUUUAGUUACAAAGGACCUUAAACACUGGACGAAGAACAAUAUUUGUAUAAUCAAGGAGGAAAUAAUCAACACAUCAAUGACAAAACACAAAUCUUAACCUAAUAUUGCACACAUAAAUAUUGCACUCGUUCACUCACAUCACAUUGAAUGCCUACAUUGGCUGUUGUUCGGCUAUAGUUUGGGUGGAGCGUGACUCCGCCGCUUUCGUCACACUCCCUAUCUUGUUUCCCGAACAUUUGGGACAAUUAGGAGUAACAACACCUGUUAAUCCACAUUUAUAACAAAAUAAUGUUCUCUGGACACUGGGACAGUCUGUAAACAAAUGACCUGGCAAUCUGCAGUUCCAACACAGUAUUCUGUCAGUAUUGAUGUUAUUAGUUUUCCUCAAUAAUUUCCCGGAUAAGACCA